GCACAAGCGGUGGAGCAUGUGGUUUAAUUCGACGCAACGCGAAGAACCUUACCAGGGCUUGACAUCCCCUGACCGCGUAUGAAAGUACGUUUUCACCCUCGGGUGACAGGGAGACAGGUGGUGCAUGGUUGUCGUCAGCUCGUGUCGUGAGAUGUUGGGUUAAGUCCCGCAACGAGCGCAACCCCUACGUUUAGUUGCUAACAGGUGAAGCUGAGCACUCUAGACGAACUGCCGUUGACAAAACGGAGGAAGGUGGGAUGACGUCAAAUCAUCAUGCCCCUUAUGUUCUGGGCUACACACGUGCUACAAUGGCCGGUACAGACGGACGCAAAGCCGCGAGGUGGAGCAAAUCCUAAAAAGCCGGUCUCAGUUCGGAUUGCAGGCUGCAAUUCGCCUGCAUGAAGUCGGAAUCGCUAGUAAUCGCAGGUCAGCAUACUGCGGUGAAUACGUUCCCGGGCCUU
rnacentral:rRNA from 1 species